UGGCCGGUUCUUCUGCGGGAAGACGCUUCCAGCCUUCAUGGGGCAGAGCACAGGCCCCCGCAGAGGCUGGGUUUUUCAAGCAUGGGAGAAGCUCCGUUGGGGACCCUGAGUCCCAACUAGGGCAUUCCUGACCCCAGAGGUUAAGUGACUCCAGCUCGAAUCCCCAAACACAGGCAUGUGGUGUUUCCCAGUUCCGGGCUAAUUGGCUGUAAAGCCAGUGAGCGGCCUUUGAACGCCUCUCCUUCCAGGGCCUGCAGACGUGGGUGCUUUACCUGCAACGUCAGGAAGAGUGUGAGCGGAGGUUGCAGACCGUGUGAAAACUAGGACGCCCCCGUCCCUUCCAUGUAUACAGCGGGGGCAGUGCUUGCUGUGCCUGGGGAGGAAUCUUGGCAUCCACCCUCCUGAAGGGAAGUGGAGUCAUGUGACCCAGCUAAGCCAAUCAGAAGCUACCUCCUGAGAACACAAAAAUGGAAACCAGUUGGGGAUGAUUUGUCCCGAAAGGUUUACCCUAAGGCUCUACUGAGUUCUAGUUUCCCUGAGACCCUGUUAUUCAUCCUUAUUCCUCCAACUCUGUGGGUUUUAAAAAUUGCAAUCUAGCCUGGGCAUGUCUCUAUUGUUUUUCAACGAUGUAAAGAAUAUGUGUGUCUAAUAUUUUGGCAGAUGCCUCUAGUUGCCCUCCCAUCAGAGGUAGCCGAUUAAACUUCCACCAACCGUU